rnacentral:lncRNA from 1 species
GUUGACGUUGAGACUAGUGUUUUGCAGGUACUAUUUAAUGAAGCUGCCAGUUGGCCAGUCAAAUGGCGCCGGAGAAGAGGGCAGACAUUUUACGUACCCCCAGCCCAUUGUGUUUUUUUGUUAGCUUAUUUGCGUUGUUUGUAACAUUUUUUUUAACUUAUUUUGUACAUAAUGUUGCCGCUACUGUCUCUUAUGACCGAAAAUAACUUCUAGACAUCAGGACUGUGAUUACUCACCUUGGACUAGCAGAAUCCUCUUUUUCCUUUCACGACUCUGAUGAUCCUGAAGCGAAGGAUACGCUGCUUCCUCGGGAACAAAUCAAAUCAAAUCAAAUUUAUUCAUAUAGCCCUUCGUACAUCAGCUGAUAUCUCUAAGUGCUGUACAGAAACCCAGCCUAAAACCCCAAACAGCAAGCAAUGCAUGUGAAAGAAGCACGGUGGCUAGGAAAAACUCCCUAGGAAAAACUCCCUAGAAAGGCCAAAAACCUAGGAAGAAACCUAGAGAGGAACCAGGCUAUGAGGGGUGGCCAGUCCUCUUCUGGCUGUGCAGGGUGGAUAUUAUAACAGAACAUGGUCAAGAUGUUAAAAUGUUCAUAAAUGACCAGCAUGGUCAAAUAAUAAUAAUCAUAGUAGUUGUCGAGGGUGCAACAAGCACGUCCGGUGAACAGGUCAGGGUUCCAUAGCCGCAGGCAGAACAGUUGAAACUGGAGCAGCAGCACGGCCAGGUGGACUGGGGACAGCAAGGAGUCAUCAUGCCAGGUAGUCCUGAGGCAUGGUCCUAGGGCUCAGGUCCUCCGAAAGAAAGAAAGAAAGAAAGAAAGAAAGAAAGAAAGAAAGAAAGAAAGAAAGAAAGAGAGAAUUAGAGAGAGCAUACUUAAAUUCACACAGGACACUGCAUAAGACAGGAGAAAUACUCCAGAUAUAACAGACUGACCCUAGCCCCCCGC